rnacentral:lncRNA from 1 species
CCUGGAUUUAUGUGACUCCAUGCUCUGAAUCAUCCAAGUCAUGCCUUUUCAUUUAUAUUCUUUUUGACCCAAAUCUUAGAGUAUGAAGUAAGAAGGAAGAGAGCCAGCUGGAGCAGCUGUCAGCUCAGCAGAGAGUCACUGACCUUCAAUGUGUGGACCCUGAAGACACACCCUCCCAUGGCUUUCCUGGCUGCUCCACUGGAUCAUGCCUGGUUUGACCCAUUUCCUCCUGGCCCUGCCCUCUGCUCCAACCUCUAACCUUCCUCCUCCCCUCUGCACUCUCCACACCCUCCACCCUCCACCCCCAUCCUCCUGGCUCUGUCUUCCAGCCAACCCUACUAGGACUGGAUGGUAGACCUUAACCCCUUACACCCUGACUCGCCAAAGCCCUUUAGGGGGCCCUGAGAUACAUGUGGGAGUCCACAAGUGCUGGGUGCUGGGGAGACAAAAAUUAAGAAGACAUAUCCUGGCCCUAAGGGUCUCUCAGAAGCUCACCCUCAGUUCCUUCAAUUGUAAGAGUGAAUUCAACUGGGGGCUCCUAUCUUUGAAGGAAGUUUACCAAGAAUUCAAAGAAAACCCAGAGAAGAGGAGGGAAAUAUUGUUACAGAGCUGGGGCCACCACAAAGCUGAGGCAGCUAUGGAGGUCCUCUCUUGUUCUUGUGAUCAUGCCAGAAGAAUUCCAGACAUGUUGCUGAGAGCAGCAGUCAUGACUUUUUGAAGGGAAAAGGAAAGGGAAAAAUGGGACACUCGCAAAGGAAAGAGUGUGUCCUUUCAGAGAGAAGAAAAUGGCACCCCUCCUGCUCUCUAGUUUUAUUGAGGAGUCCCAAGGGGAAUUUCCAGAAUCCUGCCCAAGUCCACCUUUUGACUUUAGACUUACAGCAAAAUGCCGGUCAGACUUUCAAGCCCUCACUGCACAUAAUAAUUCUAAGUCAUUUUUUGGCCCAUGCUGACGCAUUCUAAUUAAAACCUGU